GCGCCCGUAGCUCAACUGGAUAGAGCACCUGACUACGGAUCAGGAGGCUAGGAGUUCGAAUCUCUUCGGGCGCACCA
rnacentral:tRNA from 2 species